rnacentral:lncRNA from 1 species
CCAUCUGAUAUACAGUAACAACUCCCCUCUGACCACAGAUGGCUCAGUGGGUUAGUUAGAGCAUGAUGACAGUAACACUAGGGUUGUGGGUUAGUUAGACACUAGGGUUGUGGGUUAGUUAGACACUAGGGUUGUGGGUUAGUUAGACACUAGGGUUGUGGGUUAGUUAGACACUAGGGUUGUGGGUUAGUUAGACAUUAGGGUUGUGGGUUAGUUAGACACUAGGGUUGUGGGUUAGUUAGACACUAGGGUUGAGGGUUAGUUAGACAUUAGGGUUGUGGGUUAGUUAGACACUAGGGUUGAGGGUUAGUUAGACACUAGGGUUGUGGGUUAGUUACAGCAUGAUGACAGUAACACUGGGGUUGUGGGUUAGUUACAGCAUGAUGACAGUAACACUAGGGCAGUGGGUUAGUUAGACACUGGGGUUGUGGGUUAGUUAGACACUAGGUCAGUGGGUUAGUUAGACACUAGGUCAGUGGGUUAGUUAGACACUAGGUCUGUGGGUUAGUUAGACACUAGGGUUGUGGGUUAGUUAGACACUAGGGUUGAGGGUUAGUUAGCGCAUGAUGACAGAAACACUAGGUCAGUGGGUUAGUUAGACACUGGGGUUGUGGGUUAGUUAGACAUUAGGUCAGUGGGUUAGUUAGACACUGGGGUUGUGGGUUAGUUAGACACUAGGUCAGUGGGUUAGUUAGACAUUAGGUCAGUGGGUUAGUUAGACACUGGGGUUGUGGGUUAGUUAGACACUAGGGUUGUGGGUUAGUUAGACAUUAGGGUUGUGGGUUAGUUAGACAUUAGGGUUGUGGGUUAGUUAGACACUAGGGUUGAGGGUUAGUUAGACAUUAGGGUUGUGGGUUAGUUAGACACUGGGGUUGUGGGUUAG